CGAAGGGUGCAAACGUUGCUCGGAAUUAUUGGGCGUAAAGCGCACGUAGGCGGCUUGGCAAGUCGGAUGCGAAAUCCCUCGGCUCAACCAAGGAAGUGCAUCCGAAACUGCUGAGCUUGAGUACUUAAGAGGAUCGCGGAAUUCCCGGUGUAGAGGUGAAAUUCGUAGAUAUCGGGAGGAACACCAGUGGCGAAGGCGGCGAUCUGGGAAGAUACUGACGCUGAGGUGCGAAAGCAUGGGGAGCAAACAGGAUUAGAUACCCUGGUAGUCCACGCCGUAAACGAUGAGUGCUAGAUGCUGUGGGUAUUGACCCCCGCGGUGUCGCAGCCAACGCGUUAAGCACUCCGCCUGGGGAGUACGGCCGCAAGGCUA
rnacentral:rRNA from 1 species